UUAUAUAAAAUCGAUGUAUUGCUUUUUGCGAUGUGUCGGGAAUUGGGUUAUCUUAAUCACCCUUUCGGGUUUAAGAGGCCUGAAAUUGCUAUUUUUGCGCAUUUUUCUGACGUGUAAAUCCUUAUCUCGUCUUUCUAGAUGCUAUUUUAUUAUUUAUUGGGUGUGGUCACGUCGCUGAUCCCAUGCCCAUAAUACUCGAG
rnacentral:misc_RNA from 1 species